CAACUGGAAAGGAAGGAGGGGAUCUCAUGCGGCAGCGUGCUGUGAGUGCUGUGAAUGGUGCCCAGGAAAAGGCCUAUAAAUAGGUCUGGUGUAGCGGGAGAAGGUGAAGAAUGCCUGAGAUCCACACCCAGAAAAGAAAGACCAGAAUCAGAAGACAGGACUUGGCAGGAGGAAAAGGGGUGCAGAAGAAACCUGGACUCUCUGUCCAACACUGACUAAGACCCAACGGACUCUCAGUUGGGG